GAUGAACGCUAGCUACAGGCUUAACACAUGCAAGUCGAGGGGCAGCAUUUUAGUUUGCUUGCAAACUAAAGAUGGCGACCGGCGCACGGGUGAGUAACACGUAUCCAACCUGCCGAUAACUCGGGGAUAGCCUUUCGAAAGAAAGAUUAAUAUCCGAUAGUAUAUUAAAACCGCAUGGUUUUACUAUUAAAGAAUUUCGGUUAUCGAUGGGGAUGCGUUCCAUUAGUUUGUUGGCGGGGUAACGGCCCACCAAGACUACGAUGGAUAGGGGUUCUGAGAGGAAGGUCCCCCACAUUUGGAACUGAGACACGGUUCCAA
rnacentral:rRNA from 1 species